UGUGAAUGUAUUUUACUUAGCUGUUUACAUUUAUGCUUCCCCUAUUUUUUGAAAUCUGUGAUUUUUGUGCUACCUGAUUGUUUGGAUAGCUCAAAUUGUAUUAUUAUAAAAUCUCGUUGUUGUAUCAAAAUUCAGUUCUGAGAGCCCAGAUUGUGUCAGAUAAAGUGUGAACUUCUUCUGCUUAAAAAGCUAGCUAUUUAUAUCAAUGCUUGAUAUUACAGUGCAACCUCCUUGUUCUGAUCACCUGUAACUUUGUAGGUUCUUCUGACAACAAAUGCUGA
rnacentral:misc_RNA from 1 species